UACGUAGGGGGCAAGCGUUGUCCGGAUUUACUGGGCGUAAAGCGCGUGUAGGCGGCCACGCAGGUCCGUUGUGAAACUAGAGGCUCAACCUCUAGACGUCGACGGAAACCCGUGUGGCUAGAGUCCGGAAGAGGAGAGUGGAAUUCCUGGUGUAGCGGUGAAAUGCGCAGAUAUCAGGAGGAACACCGGUGGCGAAGGCGGGUCUCUGGGCCGAUACUGACGCUGGAGGUGCGAAAGCGUGGGGAGCAAACAGG
rnacentral:rRNA from 1 species